rnacentral:rRNA from 1 species
CCUACGGGUGGCAGCAGUGGGGAAUAUUGGGCAAUGGGCGCAAGCCUGACCCAGCAACGCCGCGUGAAGGAAGAAGGCUUUCGGGUUGUAAACUUCUUUUCUGAGGGACGAAGAAGGUGACGGUACCUCAGGUAUCAGCCACGGCUAACUACGUGCCAGCAGCCGCGUUAAUACGUAGGUGGCAAGCGUUAACCGGAUUUAUUGGGUGUAAAGGGCGUGUAGGCGGGAAAGCAAGUCGGAUGUGAAAACUCAGGGCUCAACCCUGAGCCUGCAUUUGAAACUGUUUUGAUUGAGUGCUGGAGAGGCAAUCGGAAUUCCGGGUGUAGCGGUGAAAUGCGUAGAUAUACGGAGGAACACCAGUGGCGAAGGCGGAUUGCUGGACAGUAACUGACGCUGAGGCGCGAAAGCGUGGGGAGCAAACAGGAUUAGAUACCCCAGUAGUC